AACCUGUGCUGAGGACAUUUCCACAGGAGAUCCUUGAACGUAUUCCAUGUCUCAAAAAAAGACACCAAUUUUACUUGCACAAAAGAGGAUAUUUCAUUCAUGAGCUU